rnacentral:lncRNA from 1 species
CGAGAGAGAGAGAGAGAGAGAGAGCGAGCGCGAGAGAGAAGUGGAUCUCUUCUUAUCUGUUUACCUGGUUAAUCUUUCUUUCUCUUUUCAACUCUGAAUUCCUCCUAUAUAAUAUAUUUAAUAUCUUUGUAUGUGUAUGUGCAGCUGUUUCGAAGAAUGUAUGUUAGAUUCAUGAUGUUCCAGUAGUUUUUAGAUGUAAUCUAUUUAUGAAUUGCUGAUAUAUUGAAGGUAGUGUUGAAUUUGUGUGUUGAAUUGGAUUCGUGUCGUAUAUUUUGCCACGUUGACUUUCUAGGGUUUACACUUUUUCUCCUUUUCAAUUCUUAUUAUUAAUUGUUUAUAUAGUUGAUUAUAUUGUAGUCUAUCAGCUACCUGUACGUUAUAAUUGACUGAUGUGAUGAUAAAAAUGGAGCAAGUAUAUGAAUAGUUUACUGUUCUAGCCGGGAGCCUUGAACAUAGCUUAUACAGUAGCUUUAAGAUGUGUUGUGGAAAUACAGAUUAUUUUUCAUAGUAGAUCUUGUUGAUGAACAAAGUGUUGGGAGUCACAGUGAAAAUCACAGCAACAAUGNNN